rnacentral:rRNA from 1 species
GACGAACGCUGGCGGCGUGGAUAAGACAUGCAAGUCGAACGGGAACUUCAGCUGUAGCAAUACAGUUGAAGUUUUAGUGGCGAACGGGUGCGUAACACGUGGGCAAUCUGCCGAGAAGUGGGGGAUAGCUCGCCGAAAGGCGAAUUAAUACCGCAUAUGAUCAGCUAAGACAUCUUAGCGACAUCAAAGCCGGGGUAACCUGGCGCUUCUUGAUGAGCCCGCGGCCUAUCAGCUAGUUGGCGAGGUAACGGCUCACCAAGGCUAUGACGGGUAGCUGGUCUGAGAGGACGACCAGUCACACUGGAACUGAGACACGGUCCAGACACCUACGGGUGGCAGCAGUCGAGAA